rnacentral:rRNA from 1 species
UGGGGAAUAUUGGACAAUGGGCGAAAGCCUGAUCCAGCCAUGCCGCGUGUGUGAAGAAGGUCUUCGUAUUGUAAAGCACUUUAAGUUGGGAGGAAGGGCAGUAAGCGAAUACCUUGCUGUUUUGACGUUACCGACAGAAUAAGCACCGGCUAACUCUGUGCCAGCAGCCGCGGUAAUACAGAGGGUGCAAGCGUUAAUCGGAAUUACUGGGCGUAAAGCGCGCGUAGGUGGUUCGUUAAGUUGAAUGUGAAAGCCCCGGGCUCAACCUGGGAACUGCAUCCAAAACUGGCGAGCUAGAGUAGGGCAGAGGGUGGUGGAAUUUCCUGUGUAGCGGUGAAAUGCGUAGAUAUAGGAAGGAACACCAGUGGCGAAGGCGACCACCUGGGCUCAUACUGACACUGAGGUGCGAAAGCGUGGGGAGCAAACAGG